AUAACUUUGAGCUGAUCGCACGGGCUUGUCCCUGCGACGCAUCUUUCAAGUGUAUGCCUUAUCAACUGUCGAUGGUUAGUUAUGCGCCUACGGUGGUCGUAACGGGUGUCAGGGUUCGAUUCCGGAGAGGGAGUCUGAGAAACGGCCACCACAUCUAAGGAAGGCAGUAGGCGCGCAAAAAAAAAAAUCAUCUGCUCCCGGCACGGGGAGGUAGUGACGAAAAAUAACAAUACGGGACUCUUUUCAGACCCCGUAAUUGGAAUGAGUCCACUCUAAAUCCUUUAACUAGGAUCAAUUGGAGGGCAAGUUUGGUGUCAGCAGCCGCGGUAAUUCCAGCUCCAAUAGCCAGCCGGUUUCGCUAGAUAAUCUUCACCGGUUCUCGUCGGUGACCGGCACGUUUACUUUGCAAAAAGUAGAGUGCUCAAAGCAGGCGUGGAUCCUGAAGAAUGGUGCAUGGAAUAAUAGACUUCGUUUCUAUUUUGUUGGUUUUCGGAAUACGAAGAACAGACGGGGCAUUCGUAUUGCGACGCUAGAGGUGGAAUUCUUGGACCGUCGCAAGACUAACUACUGCGAAAGCAUUUGCCAAGAUUGUUUUUAUUAAUUAAGAACGAAAGUUAGAGGUUCCAAGGCGAUCAGAUACCGCCCUGUUUCUAACCACAAACGAUACCAACCAGCGCUCUGCCUGAGUUCCUCAAAUGACUCGGCGGGCAGCUUCCGGGAAACCAAAAUGUUUGGGUUCCGGGGAAGUAUGGUUGCAAAGCUGAGACUUAAAGGAAUUGACGGAAGGCCACCACCAGGAGUAUCUAGCGAAGCGACUCCCGUCGCAUCGCCGGAGUCCUCUGCCUUUCCGCGGCGCUGGGUACUGAGUUCACUGCUCGAUGAAUACAAUGCGUCCGCCUGGUCGGUUAGUUCGAAGGCCGGACAAGUCCGCAGAGUAAACCCAGCCAAAACGUUACACUCUGAUGUCCAAAUGGGCAUCCGAGGUGGUGUUCCGAAUUCGUUCGGACACCAGCGUACGUCCAUAGGACGGCUGGCGGCUCGCUACACGAUACGGCCCGCUCGAACUCGUGGGAGUCGAUGGUCAAGAGUGUUCGUGCCACCGCGGGGAGGCAGCACAGAAAAAGUGGUUGCACGAAGCAACUGAGAGUGUUGUCGUCCCACCCUUCCGGGAUGACCC
rnacentral:rRNA from 1 species